ACUAGAAGCACAAGCAUUUCACUACACUCGCAUUAACAUCUGCUAAAAAUGUGUAUGUGACCAAUAAAAUUUGAUUUUGAUUUGAAUGAUCUGUUGAAGUAAAGUUUUUUACCAGUUUCAUUACUCCAUGGUUGAUUUCUUUCCACCUAUCAGUUUUAAGUCUUCAGCAUUAUUUUUGUCAUACAUUUUCUUGGAGAUCAAAACAGAGAUACAAUUACUGUAGUUUGUGACACUGACACACCUAUGUAGACUCUCUAUUACUGUAAUGGCAUAUUAUUUGUAAUCAGAAGCUUGUGUAGCUAAUUUUAUUUACAAUGACGGCCUACCCCAGCAAACCCGGACCAAUUGUGCACCACCCUAUGGGACUCCCAAUCACAGCCGGAUGUGAUUCAGUCUGGAUUUGAAUCAGGGACUGUAGUGACGCCUCUUGCACUGAGAUGCAGUGCCUAAAACCACUGCACCAUUCAUGCCCUAAUGGUUUGAUACCUUAAAAACUCAAAUUAAAGCCAUGUUUUUGUCUUCAUUUCUUAUUCAGACUGAUGGGUUACAACCUGACAGAAAAAUGCUGUGAAGCACUGGCCUCUUCUCUCAGCUCCUCUCAACUGAGAACGCUGAACCUGAAUGAUCAUGAUCUGCAGGAUUCAGGAGUGAAGCUGCUCUCUGCUGGACUGAGGAGUCCACGCUGUAAACUGGAAGUUCUUACAUGUGUACAAUUGGAGUGUAAAGAAUUAGUUUGUUAUUAUAUGGAAUCACAGAGGAAGGCUGUGCUUCCUUGACCUCGGCUCCGAGGUCAAACCCCUCACACCUGAGAGAGCUAAAUCUGGACUACAGUCACAUAGGAGACUCAGGAGUGAAGAUUCUCUCUGCUGCACUGGAGCAUCCAGACUGUAAUGUAAAACUCAGUCUGAACAAUAAUGCAGAGCACUGGUUAAAGUCUGGCCUGAAGAAAUGUAGAUGCCUAUGAGCUGACACUGGACCCAAACACAGCCCACAGACGCCUCUCCGUCUGAGGGGAACAUAACGGAGACGGGAGACAGAGGAGAAACCGUAUCCUGAUCACCCAGACAGAUUUCAAUGCUGGUCACAGGUUUUGUCUAGACAGAGGAGCAACCAUAUCCAGAUUAGAGUUGCUGUUAUCCAAUACAUGUAUGAUAUAGGCUACUGCACAGUACGCACGACAGACAAACAUAAAAGCCCAUAGAUGUAGCUAGCUAUAUGCACUCUUAGGUAAAUAAAUGAAACUCGUGUGAACUGUAUUACUGUACUGUAUUAUACUGUAUUAUAUGGGCUGGAAUUACGCACAUUGUUCAAACCACGAUAAAGCAGAAGAGAACAUGCGAUUCGUGAGCAGCACGAAAGUUACAAGUAUAGGCUAAAGAAUUUGAUUUCAAUUUUGAAAUAUAAUAGGGCCUAUUUGUAUACUUAGUAGGCUGAAGCACAUAUACCUUUCAUAAUAUUCCCCUAAUGUUAUUAGCCUAAUAACUCUUUCUCUAUUGUUGCUUCAUUCCGUCCUCGCUUUUGUUGGAUCCUGUGUUUUACAUUAUAGCCAUUAGUGUAUAUAUAUGAUUAAAUAUCAUCUGAUGUUGGUUGUGUGAGGUGUCUG